AAAAGGUUCGGGUUUAGGGUUAGAGUUGGUUUUGAUUUAUGGUUAGUUGUUAUGGAGUAGAUUUGUGUUAGUGGUUAGGGUUAGUUGUUCAGGUUUAGAGUCACUAGCCCUAAGGUUUAGGGUUAAGGUUGAGUUAGUGGUUUGGGAUUAGUUUUGGGAUAGUGGUAAGGGUUCAUUGUUAGGGGUUCCAUUUCAUGGUUAGAGGAUAGGGUUAGGGAUUAGGGGCUAGGGUUGAGGCCCCCAACCCAACCCUAACCUUAAAGCUUAGGGUUGAGUUAGUGGUUAGGGAUUAGUUUUGGGAUAGUGGUAAGGGUUCAUUGUUCGGGGUUCCGUUUCAUAGUUAGAGGUUAGGGUUAGGGAUUAAGGGCUAGGGUUGAGGCCCCUAACCCAACCCAACCCUAGUUCUAAAGUUUAGAGUUAGGGAUGAUUUAGUGGUUAGAGAUUAGUUUUGGGAUAGUGGUAAAGGUUCAUUGUUAGGGUUUCCAUUUCAUGGUUCGAGGUUAGGUGAUUAAGGGCUAGGGUUGAGGCCCCCAACCCAAUCCUAACCUUAAAUCUUAGGGUUGAGUUAGUGGUUAGGGAUUAGUUUUGGGACAGUGCUAAGGGUUCAUUGUUUGGGGUUCCGUUUCAUUGUUAGAGAUUAGGGUUAUGAUUAAUGGCUUGGGUUGAGGCCCCUAACCCAACCCAACCCUAGCCCUAAAGUUUAGAUUUAGGGUUGAGUUAGUGGUUAGGGAUUAGUUUUGGGAUAGUGAUAAGGGUUCAUUGUUCGGGGUUUCGUUUCAUGGUUAGAGGUUAGGGUUAGGGAUUAAGGGCUAGGGUUGAGGCCCCAACCCAACCCAACCCUAACCCUGAAGUUUAGGGUUAGGGUUGAGUUAGUGGUUAGGGAUUACAUUUGGGAUAGUGGUAAAGGCUUGUGUUUUGGGGUUAGGUGUAGGGUUAGGGGUUAUUUUUGGGGUUAUGAGUUAGGGUUGGGAUUAUGGUUUCUUUCUGUUGUUUUGCUUUACUGUUACCUUUUGUCAGGUGCUUUUUUUCUUGUUCCUCUUUCUUGUGACUUUCCUAUAGUUGAGUAGCGCACGCAGGGGCUCGAUUGCUAGCGAUGUUUAAAUAAGACUGUUAAAAAAAAAUAAUAAUAAUUGAACUUGUCCUUUAAGUUGAAGCAACUCAAAAAGUAUGUAGAAUCAAAAUUAAUUUUCCUCAACUCUUUCUUUUUUGCCGUGCCAACACGCUCACUCUGUGACACAUAUAUCCUGUCACUUUUUUUUAUUUGCUAGAUUGCAAGCUGAAUAAUUAAAAGAGUUUUAUAAAUGUUUCGA